rnacentral:rRNA from 1 species
UGGGGAAUUUUGGACAAUGGGCGCAAGCCUGAUCCAGCAAUGCCGCGUGCAGGAUGAAGGCCUUCGGGUUGUAAACUGCUUUUGUACGGAGCGAAAAGGUCUGCCCUAAUACGGUGGGCUCAUGACGGUACCGUAAGAAUAAGCACCGGCUAACUACGUGCCAGCAGCCGCGGUAAUACGGAGGGUGCGAGCGUUAAUCGGAAUUACUGGGCGUAAAGCGUGCGCAGGCGGUUAUAUAAGGCAGAUGUGAAAUCCCCGGGCUCAACCUGGGACCUGCAUUUGAGACUGUAUAGCUGGAGUACGGUAGAGGGGGAUGGAAUUCCGGGUGUAGCAGUGAAAUGCGUAGAUAUGCGGAGAAACACCGAUGGCGAAGGCAAUCCCCUGGACCUGUACUGACGCUCAUGCACGAAAGCGUGGGGAGCAAAC